GNGCAUCGGGUGCUACCAUGCAGUCGACGAUGAAGCCCAGCUUGCUGGGUGGAUUAGUGGCGAACGGGUGAGUAACACGUGAGCAACGUGCCCAUAACUCUGGGAUAACCUCCGGAAACGGUGGCUAAUACUGGAUAUCUAACACGAUCGCAUGGUCUGUGUUUGGAAAGAUUUUUUGGUUAUGGAUCGGCUCACGGCCUAUCAGCUUGUUGGUGAGGUAAUGGCUCACCAAGGCGACGACGGGUAGCCGGCCUGAGAGGGUGACCGGCCACACUGGGACUGAGACACGGCCCAGACUCCUACGGGAGGCAGCAGUGGGGAAUAUUGCACAAUGGGCGAAAGCCUGAUGCAGCAACGCCGCGUGAGGGAUGACGGCCUUCGGGUUGUAAACCUCUUUUAGUAGGGAAGAAGCGAAAGUGACGGUACCUGCAGAAAAAGCACCGGCUAACUACGUGCCAGCAGCCGCGGUAAUACGUAGGGUGCAAGCGUUGUCCGGAAUUAUUGGGCGUAAAGAGCUCGUAGGCGGUUUGUCGCGUCUGCUGUGAAAUCCCGAGGCUCAACCUCGGGUCUGCAGUGGGUACGGGCAGACUAGAGUGUGGUAGGGGAGAUUGGAAUUCCUGGUGUAGCGGUGGAAUGCGCAGAUAUCAGGAGGAACACCGAUGGCGAAGGCAGAUCUCUGGGCCAUUACUGACGCUGAGGAGCGAAAGCAUGGGGAGCGAACAGGAUUAGAUACCCUGGUAGUCCAUGCCGUAAACGUUGGGCGCUAGAUGUGGGGACCAUUCCACGGUUUCCGUGUCGUAGCUAACGCAUUAAGCGCCCCGCCUGGGGGAGUACGGCCGCAAGGCUAAAACUCAAAGGAAUUGACGGGGGCCCGCACAAGCGGCGGAGCAUGCGGAUUAAUUCGAUGCAACGCGAAGAACCUUACCAAGGCUUGACAUAUACCGGAAACGUUCAGAAAUGUUCGCCCCGCAAAGGUCGGUAUACAGGUGGUGCAUGGUUGUCGUCAGCUCGUGUCGUGAGAUGUUUGGGUUAAGUCCCGCAACGAGCGCAAACCCUCGUCGUAUGUUGCCAGCACGUAAUGGUGGGAACUCAUAUGAGACUGCCGGGGUCAACUCGGAGAAGUGGGAUGACGUCAAAUCAUCAUGCCCCUAUGUCUGGGCUUCACGCAUGCUACAUGGNUGNNACCAUUGGNNUGGCCAAUAACCGCNAGNGNANCGGAAUUCCCA
rnacentral:rRNA from 1 species